rnacentral:tRNA from 1 species
GGCGUUAUAGCUCAGUGGUGGAGUGUGUGCUUAGAAUGCACAAGGCCCUGGGUUCAAUCCCCAGUACCUCCA